rnacentral:snRNA from 1 species
AUGCUCACCUGGCAGGGGAGAUACCGUGAUAAUGAAGGUGGCUUUCCCAGGACGAGGCUUUACCCAAUGCACUCCAGAUGUGCUCACCCCUGUGCGGUGCACAAACUCCACUGCAUAAUUUGUGGCAGUGAAGGGGGGGGCUGCAUUCACUUUCU